rnacentral:lncRNA from 1 species
ACUAACCCAGGUGAUUUCCAUAUAUAACUCAACUCAUGCCAUGAGCCAUCUCUCAACUACUUAUAAAAGCUUGGCAUCAUGCUACAAUGUUGCUGGUGUUUGUAUAUGACAGUAGUACUAGUAGCUAUGCCAACUAUAUAACCGAUGCAGUAAUAUUUCACUGACUAGUAAUUGUGAAUAACAGGUUCUGUGAUAAAUGAAGGUAGUUUAGGACAAGGUAAAGACACCAAAAACCUUGUACAUGCUGCAAGUAAUAAUCAUGAAGCGUUUCCACCCAUCGUUCACAGAGAUCCACCUGUCCUCAAGUCCUCCUAUGUAACACACUCGGCAAAUGCAGACAAACGGCCCGUUCAAUCAAGCCACAAAUUAAGGACCG